UACGGAGGGUGCGAGCGUUAUCCGGAAUUACUGGGUUUAAAGGGUGCGUAGGCGGCUUUGUAAGUCAGGAGUGAAAGUUUGCGGCUCAACCGUAAAAUUGCUUUUGAUACUGCGAGGCUAGAAUUAGGAUGAGGUCAGCGGAAUGUGGCAUGUAGCGGUGAAAUGACAUAGAUAUGCCAUAGAACACCAAUUGCGAAGGCAGCUGGCUAGACCUGGAUUGACGGCUGAGGCACGAAAGCGUGGGGGAGCGAACAGG
rnacentral:rRNA from 1 species